rnacentral:rRNA from 1 species
AACGAACGCUGGCGGCAGGCUUAACACAUGCAAGUCGAGCGAGAUCUUCGGGUUUAGCGGCGGACGGGUGAGUAACGCGUGGGAAUAUGCCUCUUGGUACGGAAUAGCCUCGUGAAACUGGGCUUAAUACCGUAUGUGCCCUUUGGGGGAAAGAUGUAUCGCCAAGAGAUUAGCCCGCGUUGGUUUAGGUAGUUGGUGGGGUACUGGCCUACCAAGCCGACGAUCCAUAGCUGGUUUGUGAGGAUGAUUAGCCCCACUGGGACUGAGACACGGCCCAGACUCCUACGGGAGGCAGCAGAGGGGAAUCUUAGGCAAUGAGGGCAACCCUGAUCUAGCCAUGCCGGGUGAGUGGUGAAGGCCUUAGGGUUGUAAAGCUCUUUCAGCUGAGAAGAUAAUGACGGUACCAGCAGAAGAAGCCCCGGCUAACUCCGUG